rnacentral:lncRNA from 1 species
UUCGUGGGCAAAACUACCAACGCUACACCCAUAGCAUCACAGAAUCACUACUGCCAUACCCACAACAUCACAGAACUCAUCGCACCACCCCCACUAUAUCACAAAACCACUACUGCCACAGCCACCGCACAACCGUCACAAGUACAGUAUCACAAAACCACCACCGCCACACCCAUAUCAUCACAAAACUCAUGCAACCACAGCACUACUGCCACACUUACAACAUUUACAGUGGCAUACCACCGC